AGAGUUUGAUCAUGGCUCAGAGCGAACGCUGGCGGCGUGCUUAACACAUGCAAGUCGAACGCGCAGCAUUCUGUAGCAAUACAGGGUGUGGGCGCGUGGCGAACGGGUGCGUAACACGUGGAUAACCUUCCUUCAGGUGGGGAAUAACCCCGCGAAAGCGGGGCUAAUACCGCAUAACAAAACGAUGAGACAUCUUGUUGUUUUCAAAGCCGCAAGGCGCCAGAAGAGGGAUCCGCGGCCGAUUAGCUUGUUGGCGGGGUAACGGCCCACCAAGGCAUUGAUCGGUAGCCGGACUGAGAGGUUGGCCGGCCACACUGGAACUGAGACACGGUCCAGACUCCUACGGGAGGCAGCAGUGGGGAAUCUUGCACAAUGGGCGAAAGCCUGAUGCAGCAACGCCGCGUGGGGGAUGAAGCUUCUCGGAGUGUAAACCCCUUUCGACCCGGAAGAAAGCCCGCAAGGGUUUGACGGUACGGGUAUAAGAAGCCCCGGCUAACUACGUGCCAGCAGCCGCGGUAAAACGUAGGGGGCCAGCGUUGCUCGGAAUUACUGGGCGUAAAGGGUCCGUAGGCGGUGUGGCAAGUCGGUAGUGAAAUCUCUAGGCUUAACCUAGAGGCUGCUGCCGAAACUGCCGUGCUAGAGUGUGAGAGAGGCGAGUGGAAUUACGGGUGUAGCGGUGAAAUGCGUAGAUAUCCGUAGGAACAUCCGAGGCGAAAGCGGCUCGCUGGAUCACAACUGACGCUGAGGGACGAAAGCUAGGGGAGCAAACAGGAUUAGAUACCCUGGUAGUCCUAGCCCUAAACCAUCAGGACUUGGGGUGUGCCCUGUACGGGGCACGUCCCGUAGCUAACGCGUUAAGUCCUGCGCCUGGGGAGUACGGUCGCAAGGCUGAACUCAAAGGAAUUGACGGGGGCCCGCACAAGCGGUGGAACAUGUGGUUCAAUUCGACGCAACGCGAGAACCUUACCUGGCUUGAACCGCACAGGACCAGCUUCAGAAAUGAGCCUU
rnacentral:rRNA from 1 species